UCAUGUCUUCAAUUUCAAUUGGUUUAGCUUUUAACUCAUCAGAAAAUGUAGCGGGAUCAUCAAGAGCUUUAGCAACUCUCUGUUAGACCAAAAUGGCCCUCAUUUUCUGUUUCUAUAUCGAGUAAUCCCCCUUUCCAUCGAAUUGCGAUAAUUCGACCCUCGAACCCAUUAUAGAUUCUAUAAAAGAGUGGCCUGUACUCGUGGACAC
rnacentral:lncRNA from 1 species